rnacentral:rRNA from 1 species
GACGAACGCUGGCGGCGUGCUUCAUACAUGCAAGUCGAACGAGAAGCUGACUUCGGUCAGUGGAAAGUGGCGGACGGGUGAGUAAUAUGUAGGAAAUCUGCCUUUAGGAGGGGGACAACAGAGGGAAACUUCUGCUAAUACCCCAUAUGAGCGUAGCUGAAAUGCUAUUCUUGAAAACUCCGGUGCCUAAAGAUGAGCCUGCAUCUGAUUAGCUAGUUGGUAGUGUAAUGGACUACCAAGGCGACGAUCAGUAGCUGGUGUGAGAGGAUGAUCAGCCACAAUGGGACUGAGACACGGCACACACUCCUGCGGGAGGCAGCAGUAGGGGAUUUUGCGCAAUGGGCGAAAGCCUGACGCAGCAACGCCGCGUGAACGAGUAAGCCCUUCGGGGUGUAAAGUUCUGUCAGUGGGGACGAAACUUGACGGUACCCACAGAGGAAGCACCGGCUAACUCCGUG